UACGUAGGGGUGCAAGCGUUAAUCGGAAUUACUGGGCGUAAAGCGUGCGCAGGCGGCUUUGCAAGACAGAUGUGAAAUCCCCGGGCUCAACCUGGGAACUGCAUUUGUGACUGCAUGGCUAGAGUACGGUAGAGGGGGAUGGAAUUCCGCGUGUAGCAGUGAAAUGCGUAGAUAUGCGGAGGAACACCGAUGGCGAAGGCAAUCCCCUGGACCUGUACUGACGCUCAUGCACGAAAGCGUGGGGAGCAAACAGG
rnacentral:rRNA from 1 species